AACCUUAUGGACCUGCGGGCGUAUACCUGCGGAGGGAUCAUUACUGAGUACUACACUCUCUACCCUUUGUGAACUAUUAUACCCUGUUGCUUCGGCGGCGCCCGCAAGGGUGCCCGCCGGUCUCAUCAGAAUCUCUGUUUUCGAACCCGACGAUACUUCUGAGUGUUCUUAGCGAACUGUCAAAACUUUUAACAACGGAUCU
rnacentral:misc_RNA from 1 species